AGCUUUGCGCAGUGGCAGUAUCAUAGCCAAUGAGGUUUAUCUGAGGCGCGAUUAUUGCUAGUUGAAAAUUAUUUGUAUUAAGACAAUUCCUCUAAUUUUCUCUACCAGAUAAAAUUUCAUUAGACUACUUUUCAAUAACUAGAUAUAAG
rfam:Tupaia chinensis contig87169, whole genome shotgun sequence.